GCAGGCUCUUGAGGCUCCCUGAACGCGCCCGAUCUCGGAAGCUAAGCAGGGUUGGGCCUGGUUAGUACUUGGAUGGGAGACCGCCUGGGAAUACCAGGUGCUGUAGGCU
rnacentral:rRNA from 1 species